rnacentral:rRNA from 1 species
GACGAACGCUGGCGGCGUGCUUAACACAUGCAAGUCGAACGGAAAGGCCCUGCUUGCAGGGUACUCGAGUGGCGAACGGGUGAGUAACACGUGGGUGAUCUGCCCUGCACUUCGGGAUAAGCCUGGGAAACUGGGUCUAAUACAGGAUAGGCGCCAUUUUUAGUGUGAUGGUUGGAGAGUUUUUUCGGUGUAGGAUGAGCUCGCGGCCUAUCAGCUUGGUGGUGGGGUAAUGGCGUACCAAGGCGGUGACGGGUAGCCGGCCUGAGAGGGUGGACGGACACAUUGGGACUGAGAUACGGCCCAGACUCCUAAGGGAGGCAGCAGUGGGGAAUAUUGCACAAUGGGCGCAAGCCUGAUGCAGCGACGCCGCGUGGGGGAUGACGGCCUUCUGGUUGUAAACUCCUUUCGCUAGGGACGAAGCUUUUGUGACGGUACCUAGAUAAGAAGCACCGGCUAACUACGUGCCAGCCGCCGCGGUAA